AAGCGGAGGAAAAGAAACCAACUGGGAUUACCUUAGUAACGGCGAGUGAAGCGGUAAAAGCUCAAAUUUGAAAUCUGGUACUUUCAGUGCCCGAGUUGUAAUUUGUAGAAUUUGUCUUUGAUUAGGUCCUUGUCUAUGUUCCUUGGAACAGGACGUCAUAGAGGGUGAGAAUCCCGUUUGGCGAGGAUACCUUUUCUCUGUAAGACUUUUUCGAAGAGUCGAGUUGUUUGGGAAUGCAGCUCAAAGUGGGUGGUAAAUUCCAUCUAAAGCUAAAUAUUGGCGAGAGACCGAUAGCGAACAAGUACAGUGAUGGAAAGAUGAAAAGAACUUUGAAAAGAGAGUGAAAAAGUACGUGAAAUUGUUGAAAGGGAAGGGCAUUUGAUCAGACAUGGUGUUUUUUGCAUGCACUCGCCUCUCGUGGGCUUGGGCCUCUCAAAAAUUUCACUGGGCCAACAUCAAUUCUGGCAGCAGGAUAAAUCAUUAAGAAUGUAGCUACUUCGGUAGUGUUAUAGCUUUUUGGAAUACUGUUAGCCGGGAUUGAGGACUGCGCUUCGGCAAGGAUGUUGGCAUAAUGGUUAAAUGCCGCCCGUCUUAA
rnacentral:rRNA from 1 species